rnacentral:misc_RNA from 1 species
UUUCCGUAGGUGAACCUGCGGAAGGAUCAUUAUCGUAUAACCGAGAUGCGAGGGCUGUCGCUGACCCGAAAGGUCGUGCACGCCCGAGUGCCCUCACACACAUCCAUCUCACCCCUAUGUGCACCACCGCGUGGGUCCCCCUUUGGCUUGUUCGGAGGGGGGCUUACGUUUUCACACAAACUUUGUAUGCAGUGUAGAAUGUAUUUUUUGUUUUUGCGAUCACGCAAUCAAUACAACUUUCAACAACGGAUCUCUUGGCUCUC